rnacentral:misc_RNA from 1 species
AGAUCUUGACAUCAUUGUUGCCAGUUUUUGUUUUAAUGUUUCUAGGUCUUUAUUUGGAGCUAUGGAGAUAUUACAUGAUCAAUGGUUUGCUUUUCUUCCAAACAAGAUCUUGAAGGGCUAAUAUAAAGUGUGGAGAUUUAAAUACCUGGAAGAAAAUAAAAAAGGCUUCUAACUAGGUGUUCAGUAAAACUGUGAACCAAUGUUUCAAGAAUAGAAGCAAGUAUCGUGAAAGAGAGAAUGUUAAUGUCAACACUGGAUUCAGAAUACAAGAUGAUGGACAGAGGAUGAGAAGGGCAGAUGUUAGGUUCGAAACCGGUGAGAUUUUGAGAGUUUAUUUAUGCUUUCGAAACCG